rnacentral:rRNA from 1 species
UACGAAGGGGGCUAGCGUUGCUCGGAAUCACUGGGCGUAAAGGGUGCGUAGGCGGGUUUUUAAGUCAGGGGUGAAAUCCUGGAGCUCAACUCCAGAACUGCCUUUGAUACUGAAGAUCUCGAGUCCGGGAGAGGUGAGUGGAACUGCGAGUGUAGAGGUGAAAUUCGUAGAUAUUCGCAAGAACACCAGUGGCGAAGGCGGCUCACUGGCCCGAUACUGACGCUGAGGCACGAAAGCUAGGGGAGCAAACAGG